rnacentral:lncRNA from 1 species
ACCCUCACCCCACCCCACUCACUAUCCAUCUCAGCACCCACCUGGGCAGAGUGGAUGGCUCCUGUUCCCACAGACUGGCUCUGGGCCACCAUGACCAUGUUCUACCCUACAGUCCUUUCCCAACCCAGGGACCCCGAGGGUCGGGUUUUACUCCUUGCACACCACCCGGCAGCACAAGGAAACAAAAGGACAUUUGAACCAGGAAGAGGCUGUGCCAGCUCCCACCAACUCCUUUUAUGGCCUCUGGGCCCAAUUCCUCCUCCUUCAUAAAAAGUCAGAACUGUAAAAGUCUAUAGUCACUGGGUCCUCUUGCGCCAACACUUUCCUUUUCUACAGAAAAACCCGUUGUGCCACCUACCCGUCCUCAGCCACUUGUACAACUUACAAGACCAGGCGAGGCUGGGCAGCGACCUGCGCUGGAGGGAAACUCUAGCCCUGGCGGGCA